rnacentral:rRNA from 1 species
UGGCCUUGACAUGUCUGGAAUCCUGUAGAGAUACGGGAGUGCCUUCGGGAAUCAGAACAC